AGGUAUGUGUGCGUACGCCAAGGUUCUGAAAAUCGGUUCGAACCGGCGGGUCGAACUGGUUGAACCGUAAACUGUUGCCAAACACGGUUCGGUCAGAAGCUAAAAUCGUAAAAUUUAAAAACCGAUAUUGAACCGCUGAACUGGCCGAGAACCGGUCAGUCGAACCGAACCGUAAACCAGCCAGUUUUUGAAAUGGGUCAAAAAUCAAAAUUUUCAAAAACGGUGCGUUGAAGCUUGGUUGUGAUUUUUGAAACCUAAUAUGCCUAACACACAGUAACACCCCUCUUGGCCUCUCCUCUCCAGCACACAGAAGCAGAACGCGAAGCAGCACACAGUAACACCCUAGCCCUAGGUUCCUUGCUACCGCCGUCCCCAGGUUCUCGGUGCCUCCACUUCUUACUCUUCCCUCUGUCCGGAACCCAGGUAGCUCAGCUUGUCAUCCCCAUCUUCUCUGGCUUCUCUGUUCGUGGCUUGGAGCAGCUCGCCGUUGGGUCGCCGCUUGCUGUCGCCUCGCCUAUCGCCGUCGUCUCACCGGUUGCCAUCCGUGUCUUCGUCGAAGGUUCAGUGUUGGCUUCAACUUUCAAAUGGGAAUUGGGAGCUGGUGAAGAUAAUAACAUGUUUGGAACUGAGUCUAUUGUUUCACUGCCUGAUGGAAA